rnacentral:lncRNA from 1 species
UUAUGAACGUGAUUUUCACAUGGAUGCUGCAGAUCUGAACUCAGACCCCCAUGUUUGCAUAGCAAGCCCUCAACCCACUGAACCACCUCUCCAGCCCUUCGGUGCUCUUAAUUUAAACUCUACCAUCGAGCCGUUCUUCCUGCUAUUUGCCUUAGUAAAAGCCAAUUUCACUAUUGCCCCCACUCAAACCAAACCCGAUGAAGCUUUCUUUUCUUACAUAUACACUUUUGAUUUUUAUAUUUUAAAAAAUUAGGUGUAUGUGUUUGUGCAUGGGAGAUGUGGAUAUGUGCAUAUGUGUGCAGAUGCCUACAGAGGCCAGAGGCAUCUGAUCCCCCCAAAGCUGAGACAAUUGAGAGCUGUGGGAGACUCAAUUCCUCUGCAAAAGCAGUAUGUGGUCUUGACCACUGAGCUAUCUCGCCAGCCCCUGUAAGUAUUUUUAUUUUGAUAGCUUCUUCUUCUUUUUUUUUUUUUUAACAGAAUGCAAUGCCCACCAUGCACACUGUUCCUAGUGCUAAAUAAAAGUGUCCAAAGCCUACAAAACUACUACUUGUCACGGAUUCAGAUUUCUAAUUAGGAGACAGAGGACAGCGGAACACCUGGGUCAGCUGCUGACCAGUGUGGUGAGAGAACACCAGCGCAGGGCAGAGGGCAGAGGCUGAAGGAGGAGGGUGGAACACUGCUGCUUCAUUAGGAGACACGUCGUGGAGAAGGUGGACUUUGUCUAAAGAUCUGAAGGCAAAGAUGAGGUGCUACCUGAGGAAGAGUCUUCUAGAACAAGGGGGCCCAGUGUGCAAAGACACUUGGAGUAGAGGCUCUGGUCUUGGCAAACAUGUGUACUCUAUUCAGUCCCUUAGAGAACACCACGGGCUCGUCAUCUGAAAUACAGCGUCCACCCUCAUUGCUUUCUCUCUUCCUCAGACCACACUUCAAUAAUCACUGCCUCAUUACUUUCAUGGUCUAAUUUCUGGACCCCUAUAUCUUGUCCCCCACACACAUACACUUAUACCCUCUUCAGCAUAGAUGCUAUGUGAUUCUAUUAAAACAAGUCUAUUCGUGCUAGGUUUCAAAGUCUCCCAUGGUUUCACAAAUCACGCCACACAAAUGCCUCGCAUCUUGUCCAUUGCCUGCUCAGCCCCCACCCCCACCCCCUGCCUCUAACCCGUCACUCAUAUGCCUAAACUCGCUCACUCAGCCUCGUCUCCAGUCCUUCAGACUCCUCCUGUUCUACAAGCUUCGGAAGUCAGCAUUUAUCUGGCAUUAAGAACAGCGUGUGUGGUAGCUACUCAAUAGCUCCUUGUUGAAAAGGGUACUGCUCUGUCACUGGAAAAAGCCUUGAGCGUAUGAAUACACAUGCUGUGGUAACUGAGCUCUGUGACAUCCCUCAAUGACCCUUGCCUUCUGGCUGCCCUGCCUUGGUGGACUCUCCUCCCACAAUGGAUCAGAGUGAACCUAUUUGACCCAGAGAUUACAUGAUGGUGUGUGACUUCCCAGAUUAGAUUACAAGACAUAGAACAAUCACUACUUUUUCCUCUGAGGGGCGCCAGUUGCCGUGGGAGCACUCAUCUACCCUGAAAGUGAGUUCAGUGGCAAGUGACUGAGACCUCCAUCCAAUAACCAGUACCACCCCCAUCUAGUAACCAAUACCACUUCCCCAUCUAAUAACCAAUAUUACCCACCCAUCCCCAUUUAAUGACCAACACCAUUUGCCAGCCACUGAAAGAGAUUUGCCUGCUUAUAACUAAGUUUUCAUAUGGCCACAACUUUGGUCAACAUCUUGACUAAAACUUCAUGAGUGACUGUCCAAGGCAGAACCAAUCAGCUGAUGUUCUCAUUUCUGGUACACAGGUAACAUUCGAGACUACCCUUACUGUUUAGUGGUACUGCUUUGGGAGAAAUUUAUACCUGGAUUUACUAUAUGGAAAUGCUGUAUCCGAAAUCUAAAAUGUGAGUAGAAUCCUGCAAUCCAACACUGAGUAAGAACCAGGAGGAUAAAGAUGAAGAUGAAGAUAAAGUGAAAACACUAAACGACUUUGAAGUGACAGCCACUGGGGCUAAUGGGACAUGAGGAAAACAUCACUCUGCAUGAGAAGAAAGGAGAACCUUUUUAAGUACUGGAGAACUGUGAGAACUAACUGUUGAUCUGAAAGCAACCAUGAUUUGCUACAGAGGUGCGAGCUUGCACAGAGACCUGUGAAAUCCCACAGAACACAGGAAGUGUCUAAUUCCGCUGGAUCGGGCUGGUGUCAAGGCAGCUGACAGCUUCAGAGCCAAGAGCCUCCAGAAUCCUUUUUGGUAAGGAAUGUCAGCUACAAGGGGAAUCCCUACCUCACCAUCUACACAGAGUUCAAAGGAAAUGCAGAUUUAAUCAUUUGGUUUCUGUGUGACUUUCAAGUCAAAGUGAAACUAGAAUGUGAAUAUCAGAGCGUGUGAACCUUUUUGGUACGAAGCCUGGGUUCCCCUCUUACUGCUGCGGUGUGUAGAGGAUUGUGCAAUGUAAUAGCAGCAUCCAAGAUACACAGGGUCUCUGCUUCGACUCUCAAGAUGACUGCUGAUGCUCGGAGCUGAGCUGCAGAGUGCAGCAGCUCAUUGUUUGGGCCAGGAGUGUGCACGUGAAAAAUGACUCGCCGCACACUCUGCUUCCAUUCUGGUGCUCCGGGAAUGGAUUGACUUCAAAGAACUCUUUAAAAAUUAAAGUUAGGGGGACUGGAGAGAUGGCUCACUGGUUGAGAUUACUGACCGCUCUUCCAGAGGAGCCAGGUUCAAUUCCCAGCACCUAUAUGGCAGUUCAUAACUGUCUGUAACUCCAAGAUCUGACACCCUGAUGCAGACAUACAUGCAAACAAAACACCAAUGCACAUGAAAUAAAACUAAACUUAGAAUGCCACCUAGCAGUAGUGAAACUAAGUUCAAUCCCCAGAGCCAUUAAAUAAAUAUAAUGCAUGUAUAUGCAUAUAUACAUAUACAUAAUCUAUUUAUAAUUUAUAUUUCUCCAUUGGUGAACAAAAGUUAGAAUACAUGUUCAUUGUUAAAAAUAAGAAACAGAACACGGGUGAUGACCAACCUAAACAUCACCAGUGUGGUCUUACACAAAUAGGUUCCCUUUUCUUAUUUCAUUUAGAAACCCACUAAGCAAUUGGUGUAAUACUCCAUUUAGAGCAAGAACACCACAGAGUUGUCUCUGAUAUCCACAUAAAUGCUAUGACAUGCUUGCCUCCCUAUAUACACACAUCAUGUAUGUGUGUGUGUAAACACAUACACACACACACACACACACACACACACACACAGAGAGAGAGAGAGAGAGAGAGAGAGAGAGAGAGAGAGAGAGAGAGAUAUUAAAAAUAAAUCUAGUACCAGAACCUGAGUUUGAUCCCCCAAACCAUGUAAAAAAAAAAUCCAACCAUGUGAUGUAUGCUUGUAAUUCUAGCUCAGGGGAGGGAGAGCCAGGCAGACAGAUCCCUUUGUCUGAAGAAAGAAAGUGGAUGUCUCCAUGGAAGGACACCUGAAGUUAACCUCUGACCCCCACAGGCAUGCACAUGCAUAUGAACAUGUACCCACACACAUGAACAUACACAGGAAAACACUUCUCUUACGCCAUGCAUACCAUAAUUUGUAUAAAAUUCCACCAUAAAGGAGAGCUGGUUUCAGCUUCCUUUAUUAUAAACUAUACUGCAGCAACUAUAUGUGAAUACACAUUUUUUUCUGUUUAGCAUCAAUUUCGUACUAUUAAAUUUUCAAAAAAUUGAAAUUAAGACCAAAUUUCAGUGGUUUUUAAUGUUUCAUAAUUAACUUUGCUUCUUUACCAUGGCUUUAAAAAUAUUUAUAAAGGGCUGGAGAGAUGGCUUAGCUGUUAAGAGCACUUGGCUGCUCUUUCAGAAGUCCUGAGUUCAAAACACCAAUGCACAGAAAAUAAAAAUACAAAAUAAAACCCAACAAAAACCUAUAAGAUACCAAUUAUGAGGACAAACUUGGGGUCUCAAACUUUAUAAAUACUUCUUGAAACAUGCAAGACUGCCUUGGUAAGUAGGCCACUUAACCAGUGGGAAGGGACUGUGUCCGGCUGCCCUCAGCGAAAGGCAAUGGUCUGUGUUCCCAAGGUCACCAGGCCCCUUUGUCCAUUCUUCCCGUUAGCCCCAGGGUGGCCACCUUGGUGAAAUCUCCUAUUUCUGUUUUCACCAUAAUCCAUUUUUAAAUUUGUGUUUCAGGAGAGGCAGCUGAGCCCUGCUUAUUGGUGCUGCCAGAGAAAUGACACUUUUGGGGAAUGAGCCACUCAAAGGAACUUGACUGAAAAGGGAGCAGAAGGAUGGAAUGGCCCCAGGGACCUGUGGUCCUUCCUGAUCCCUUGGUGUUUUGAGGCUCUUUUGAACUCUUUGGAUUCACUUUGAACUAA